UCUUUUCUGUCAUUCACUCUUUUUUUUUUACAAAACCCUAAUGAAGCCAGUUUCUUUCUUCUUCUUGAGACAAUGGAUUCCAAAACAAUCUAAAAAGGUGUCUUGCACAUCAAGAAGAAAUUCUUAGGGUUUUUGAUUCUUCCACUACAAGCUAUCAGAAACAAUGGAGUGUCGGAAUUGACUAUAUUGGCGGAAAUCGUCGAAGAAAAGCCCCAGCGAAACCGAAAGCUUAGAAGGAUCAAUCAUGUAUCGUCUUCCCAUUAUGAUGAUCAAGCAUUUUUAAUUCAUCAACUAGAGGGUGGUUUUGGGAGGGAAUCCAUUCUAUUAACUUUGGACGCGGGAUCCGUUUUUACAAUGAGUGACCCGAUAUCAGAUGGAUCAUAUAUGUCGUCUUUGACAAAUCCUAAAGCUUCACAGGCACACUUCUCUCAAACCCUAAAUUCCUCUUUGCGAUUCUUCAUGUUCUUCACCGAUUAUUCGUGAUUGAUCUUAGAAAGCAUGCUACUCACAACAACGAAAAGGUACACAUUUUUUAAUGUUAUUUCAAGAUUAUUCUUAGGAUGAUCAUUCAGCUUUUUUGAGAUUGCAGGUACGUUUAUUUAUCCAUUACAUCUACAAUACGCUGUCAAAAGUAUUUUAUAAAAGGUUUAUUGUGUUUACCGUUUAGGGAUUGUGUAUCCGAACCGAUUAUACCUUCAAUUUAGUUUAUGAUAUCUUUUUGAUGUUUCGUUAUCUGAUUACUGUUGUCGUCUCAGAUCUGCAAGCCGCAUAUCAGAUCAAAUGAAAAAAUAAAUUGAAGGUUAGGGACUUAGAGUGUUGACACACUUCUGGUGUUGGAUUAUCGACACCUACAUUUUAAAUGAAGAUGAUUUUAUGCAAAAAUUCGUGAAGUUGCAAAAGUGUAUAUUCUGACCACAGGAGUUUUUGUUUAGAAUGGGAACAUUAGCAUACCAAGUAUGCUUUGCUCAAUUAUUGUUUCAGUUUGAUACUAUUUUUUUGAUUGUUGGAUGGGUUGGGGACUAACUUCUAAAAUGACUCUUUAUAUGAAUUCAUCUCUAUUUGGUUUUGUAGAUUGAAAAUUCAUAUCUUGAAGAUGGUAAAAGUCUCAACAAUUGGGAUGUCUUUUCUCUUUUAUAUAUUCAAUUUAGGUUUUAUUUAUACAUUUUUAUGUCAAUUUGUGUAUUUUCGUGUUUGUUUUUAAUGUGCAGGCAACAUUUGAAAUGGUGACAAUGGAUUCGUAGCUGCUGACCAGUAUAACCAAAUAUUUAGUAUCUUUCUUUUUUAUUCAUUUUUCUCUAAUCUAUAUAAAAAUGUUACUUUCAGUUCUCGAAAACUAUUUGAAUCUGAUUAACUAACAGUUGCAGAGACAUUGUUUUUCUAUAUCAUGGUCAAUAAUUCUUCUAGGUUCGAUAUGCAACUUAAAAAAUGUUAAAAAAAGACCGAAUAUAUAUAUAUGUUUGAUUAUCAAAUUCUUACAUUUUUUGUUCUUUCCGAGUUUACCGGAUGUUCCCCGUUUUAUGUGGGCCAUACGGAUCACCUGUGGGAUACUGAUUCGGUUGCAGAUGCAAUGGAUUGUGCCUUGGAGCUGAUUAAAAGGUAGAGAAAACUUUCAUUUUGACAUGGGAAACAGUAAAUUACGCUACGCCUCAGCAGCAGCAGGAAUCCGAGAGGGUAUAGAUUUGUCGAAUGUUUUGAGGAAUGUGAAAUUUAGAUACUCUUUUCAACAUGAUCGCAAAGUGUAAGCCUUAAAACUCAGGAGGAGUGAGGCAUAUUCUCAAGACAAGUCAUCAAGGAAAUGGGUUAGAAGAAUAUGUGGCUCAAGGUACAACUUGAUAGGUAAAAUCCAUCUUAAUGAAUGAGAUAUCCUUUGUCGACAGUUAGGUCCGACUCGGGCUCUUUUGAUGAACAAGUUGAUAUUACAGAUUGUUAAGAAAUCGUAUAAUUAAGGACCACAUGUUUUCUUCUUCAUUUUAUAUCGUAGGGGAGGUCUUACAGCAAAACAAUCUGCUUAAAAAAGUUCGUGUGAUGUAGCAUUAUUGAUGGUGGAAUGUCGAGUCUUCAUUGUGUUCUUCAGUUGGAGACGAGAGGAGUUUGAUAUACUGUUUUUUGAGGUUGGGUCAAAACAGUCUGUUAAAAAAAUCAAUUUGGAUGGGUCACUCUUUAUAAUGUUCUAAAACCAUUGUAUCGAAUAAGAAGCUUUGUGUGAUAACCUAUGGAGAUGAAAAGACCAACAAGAUUUGUUUAGAAUAUAUUUAUGGUCGAACAUAAUGCAAUAAUACAUUUAUGUACUUACUUUUUGGUGUGUUACUGUCUUGUGACUAUAGGUUUGGGAUGUAGCAAUUGGUACAAAGGAAUACACUUUUGAAGGUGAUAAUAAUGCUCCUGUUUAUUGUGUAUACCCUCACUUCAAGGAAAACAUUCAGGUAAACUGGUCGGAUCAGUGGAGCGGGGUCAAGCGGAUUGGAAGUCGCCUAAAGUGUAAAACUGUACAAAAUCAAGUUUAGAGGGAUUUGAUGCAAUAGGGUUUUGUAAGUUUUUGUGGCAUUGACUAAAAUGGUUCCGUCUGGUUUAAAAAAAAAAGAGAAAGCAGCUUAUGAAGAGUUGGGCUUUGAACUGAUGGGACCUUAACUUAUCAAACCCUUGAUGAUAUAUAUCUAUGGUUACUAUGGAUCCAAGGUUCCAAGUCAGGUCGACACGGGUCAGAAGUUCAAGUGGAACAACUGGGCGCCAAUCAAAGUGACUUUUUUUAGGUUUGGAGAGCAUCUAGGGACUGGUUACCCAUGAAGGCUGCUUUGGACAAAAGGGGCAUCAUCAUUGGCUCGUGAAACUGCAGUUUUUUGUGGAGAAUUUGAGGAGGCAACAUACCAUAUAUUUGUGUCAUGUGGUUUUGCUCAGAUAAUUUGGGAUACGGUGGCUCAAUGGUGUCAACAGUUUGAUUUAGAGUGUAGAGUGACAGUGAAGUAUUGUCAAUACGUGUAUACAAAGUUUUAAAAAAAUAAGCCGUUAUACUAAAAAAUAUACAUGAUUAAUAUACAUUCCUGCUUUUGUAUGUUUUUAUGGCUCUUUACAACAAGAAAAAUUUUAAGAAACCAAAUUAAAAAUUUAUGGUGGAGAGAAAAGAAAGAUGAUACUUUAGAUGUUAAAAGUGUUACUCAUUUUCAAAAGUAUAUAUACAAUAGUUUAAAGGCGAUCUCAUCGCUGGAUGUACCAUCGUUAGUCUCUGCAUUCCAAAUGAGGUAAACAAAUAUAAACAAGAAAGGAAAACUCACUUUAUACUAAUUAUUUAUACCUUUUUUUCAGGAUAUUGGGUAUGCAAAACUAGCAGACUUAAAGCCACAAUAUAGGUUGUGUAAGUUACCUUCAUAAUAUUAUUGCAUGCAAGUGUUCUUUUGAAACUUUGACCAACCUAAGUUGACUUGCAGAUUCGAGUUUUAUUCCACCUUUUAUCUAUCCAUUCAUAGGAUGUUGGGAGGAUAUUUGUCAUGCUAUUGUUGACUGGUCGAUUUAGUUUAUAAAGUAGUUUAUAUCUGGUGUAUAUUGUUGGCUGGUCGAUUUUUUAUAACGUGAAAUUGCUUAGAGAGCUUAUGAAACUGGUGCGAAGUGGUUGGGAUUUGACUCUUGAACUGCUGAAGUAUAGUCACAAGGGGUUAGGGUUU